CCCUUUCAAUUCAUCCGGGCUGUAAACCUAUUGCUUGGGGCAGCCCCAAUCAGGGCGGGUCUUCCUGCCUGGUUUGCUGGCCCGUGUGCCAAUCACCUCUGGACAUACCCACAGACACGCUCAGAAGUGUGUUUACCAACUGCUAGGCAUUUCAGUCAACAAUCACCAUUGCCCAGCUACAACGGAAGUUUUUAGUUUGAGUGAUAUUUUAAAGAAAAGAUUUCACAAAUUCAGUUUAUAAAUCCAACUUUCAACAAGUCUGAGAAAGAAAGAACUCUCCAGCAUGGAAACCUGGCCAUCAUUUGCUGUGAACACUCGUGUGCCUGAAAGCACUCGAUAUAGAACGGCCCUGAGUGAGCAUACUCGGGCAUACAUCUGUGCUGCAUCAUAUCUACUGGACAGACACACCAGGCAGAGGCUACAACAAAAGAAUUCGCCCAGGAACAUAGUCUAUCUAGGUCAGCAUUCUCUCACAUCUACAGUGCAGUCCACAAGUACAGAAAUCGAUAAAGAGCAUGACGUGGAAUUAUCAUUCUUCAAGUUACAGGUGAUUAUGUCCCCAAAAGAAUGCAAUAAUUCCUUUAAUUUUACCUCCACUUAAAUUCCAUUUUCUACUUUUCUCUCUUGCCAGAAGUACAGUAAUUAUUCCAGACCUAGGCUCUGUGCUAAACGUCUGGGAAUAGUUUACUUGCUUGAUCUGUUCUUCACAGUAAGACGUACAACAGUGGUCUUCCACCAUCUGGGUUCAUUGUAUGUAAAUCUUCCCACUGCUCCACCAGAGCUGGUCGCAUACUCCAAAAUACAACAAUAUAAUAAUAAUAAGCUUUAUUUCACCUUUGGCUCAACUUAUAUUUCAAAGAGCCUAAGGAAACCAAUUAAAGUGUUCCUUGGAAAUAAGUUUAUUAAUGCUUUGUUGAAAAUAAUCCAGAAAACCUACUUGUAUUUUAAAUUUCUAAAAUUACUACUAAAGUAUUAGAAGUUUACAGCUUGAUGAUAACAUUCAAACAGACACCAAGUAGAGGGAAGAAUUUGGAAUCAAAUGAUCACAUUUUAGCAUGUAACAAGGAAGGGUGAAGAAAGGCUCUUAAGAAUGAGGAGCAAAGCUAAACGCUAACAGAUGUGGGAUACUGUGCAGAAUCCAGACCCAAAAGGCAUCCACGUAGAGAGAAGAAGACCCACGGAAAGUGGAAUUGAAGGGGUUUCCCGAGGCCGAGUUCAUCUGUGUUUCAGCGGCUGGCUCUGCAGGAAGUCUGGGCUGGCUCUGCAGGAAGUCUGGGUUAGCCCGCAGCACACCGCCAGGUGCGUCUCUUGGGUUAUGGAAGUAACCGGCGCAGGGCACGGCCGGUGGAGGGCCCUCGGUGCUGGAGUCCACACCCUGUGCCUCUCACUGCGCAGUGCACUCUCGCAGACGCCGCAGCCUGUUCCUCUGAGUGCUCCUCUCUGGCGAGUCCUUCCCGAGCGCCCGGCCGGGCAGUCUGUGCAUCCUCUACCAGUCACCGGCUCACACGCACCGCUUUUCUCAAGAACAGAGUUCUGUUCUCAGGAGUUUGCUUGGGCCUUCGGAGCUCUCGGGGGACCUGGCCCGGCCUCCUCCUAAACUCCACCUGAGUCUCCCGUGUCCCAUUACACGGGCUUCCGCAGUCUCUCGUGCAAACGUCCUCUUUCCUGCCCCUUCCUCUCCCUCAGCCUUACUGCGUCCCGGGCUCUACACAGGCUCGAGCUGGUCUUGACAUUCAGAACUCGGCUGUGGGGCGGCUCUUCCAAGAAGGUUCUCCCGAAGACCGAAGACGGGGAGAGGUGUUUCUGCCGGAGGUGGGAUCGGUCUCCACGGCCUCGAUGACAGCUCCAGUUCCUCUCCGAUGAUCCGCGCUAUUUGCUGUUGUUUCUCCACACUGGAGGGCGCUGGGCAGGGAGGAGCUGUCUUGCUCGUCAUUGUAUCCGCAGAGCUCAGCCCUGUCCCAUCCGAGACACAGUGGGCCUCAGAGUAACGUUGAUGAAUAAAAGAAGACAGUUCAUGGAAAUAGAAAGAUGGGAGGAGAGACAUACCUAUGAGUGAGGGAGAUGGGAGAGUUGGGUUGAGGUGAGAAGCUGUUUAUUUCCUGGGAACUUGGGAGCCUGAGGUGCCCUGCAGUCCCGCCCGGAGGUGACAACACCACUCAUGACCUCUGGCCUGCAGGUGGGCUGUGUCGUGCAGGUGUGUCUCCACCACUGCUGAGGAUGGGGCAGCUGUGUCGCAGGUCUGAGGUGGGACUUGGGCUGCAGCAACAGCAGCAGACAGAGGGGUCCACCUCAGAGUUCCCGGAGGCACAGGGCGGCCGCACGUCCGUCGGCAUCAGCCCCUGUGCCGAGACCCUGUAGAGUGGCAGCCCGCUGUGGCCCUGAUGAGAACACGACCUCCACCCUGUCCAGGGCUUCGGGUCAAAUGGAGUCAGCGCUCGGAGGAGCAGAAGGUGUCAGCCGAGAGGCUGGGGUCACUGUAUGUGGUCCCUUGGGUUCAGACAGUGGUAGAGGCCUCGAGAAGACACUGCCCUCGCCAAGAACUCAGCCUUCUAACUCACCAGUUCCCUUAUUUUCCUGCUCACUACACAGAAGAUAGAAGCAUACCUCUCGCAAAGUUAUUUUUGCUGCUCCACUCAUUUCAGAAAAUUGAGGAUGGCUUUACAGACCUUGAAAACUCCCUCUGAAAUAAUGCUUUCCAACCUAGAAACCUCCCAGACUGGGGUCUGCGUGGUCCAAACAAUCCCAGGCUCCUACAGGCUCCUGGCACCGUGCAUUUCCUUCCUGUUGUGCCCCAAGGAGAUGCCAGAGCUUCAAAAAUAGAUUAAGCAAACCUUUGCAUAGAUGAGUAGAGGUGACAUUUGUCAACAGGAGAAAGGACGCAGCCAUAGCUUCCUAGAAGGUCCAACCAAUGUAAUUACCAAGGCUUCCUGACAUGCAGGUCCCAAACGGCCAUCUUCCUUUUUUACAUGGGGUCUUUGGACAAAUAGAAUAAUUUUCCAUGUUUUCUACUAAUCAUCUCUGGGACUUCAGGGGAAGAGCAGCAGCACAGAGACAGCAGGGGAGACCUGAUGAUACCGACCACCGCCAGACACACCGCGAUUAGGCACCAGCUCCACCUGAGGAAUGUAGUCAUUAUGUACUGAAGCAUGCACUAAUAAAAACUAAAUUAAAAGAUGCAUCUAAAGGCCUAGAUAAUACUUUAAGGAUGGGUUUCCUGCAGGCUAGCUCUUUGAAAAUUGGUAAAUCACCUGUUUUUAACAAAUGUAUACUAAUGGUCCAAAAUAUUCCUCUAUCUGCCUUCUGUUUUUAAAGACCAUUUAUUUCUUGUUUGGGGCAUUGCUUUGUACCAGGCACUGUGCUGAGCACUGGAUGUGUAAAAGUCAAAAAAGACCGAUAAGGCUCAUGUCCUCACACAAGUGAUGGCCACAGGAGACAGAGCAAUUACGUGUAUAAGACCUGCCCGUGAAAGAAACAUUGGCAUCAAAGAGCUCCUCAUAAGAAAGAACUCUUGAUUCUCCUGGUGUGUAACAGGUUUCAGUCAGUGCUUGCUAAAUAAACAGUAGGUGAUUUUGCAUUUGGGAAGUGAGAAGAAUCGAGGCUGCCUGUUACUCAAGGUUGGAUUAGAAUCUGUUAUGCAUAGAGGAGUUCUUGUGCAGAGCUGCCCACAGCAGCGCCAGCCCAGGGAGCCUGUGACAGACAGCUGCACACCUCCCUGGUUCACAGGAAAUCUGGCUGUCGUGUCCCUGAGCACUGCAGGGAGCUGUGGGUAAGUCACAGGUGGGGACCCGUGUUACCAGAUAGGCAACAAGGAGACUCAGGCACCCAAG